rnacentral:rRNA from 1 species
GCAAUGCAGCAGUGCGUAAUCCUGCCCAAUGGGGUGAAUCAUGAUGCCCCCAUGCUGGUUAAGUAAUUUAGGCCNUAAGGUUGUAAAGCUCUUUAAUCCGGGAAGAUAAUGACGGUACCUGCAGAAUAAGCCCCGGCUAACUCCGUGCCAGCAGCCGCGGUAAUACGAAGGGUGCUAGCGUUGUUCGGAAUUACUGGGCGUAAAGCGCGCGUAGGCGGUUUGUUAAGUCGGAUGUGAAAGCCCCGGGCUCAACCUCGGAACUGCCUUUGAUACUGGCUAGCUAGAGUCCGGUAGAGGUGAGUGGAAUUCCCGGUGUAGCGGUGAAAUGCGUAGAUAUCCGGAGGAACACCAGUGGCGAAGGCGGCUCCCUGGCCCGAUACUGACGCUGAGGCGCGAAAGCGU